CCAUUCCCGCCUGCAAGCGGAGGGGCUGCUUCCGUCUCCCUCUCUCUCUUGCAAGAGCUGCCUGGGGUCUGGCCCACCACAAGGUCUGAGGGACGGUGGACCGGCCCAUGGCUGAAAAAGGUUGCUGACCCCUGGUCUAUAGCUCUCCUUCUGGAGCCAGAGAGGUCGGGAUAGUCACUUUCAAGGCCACCAUUUAAGAUGUAGAGGUUUAGCCUGAAGGCUGUUUGAGCCAAGCAGAUGCCUGCAAAGUUUGAUUUCUGAUCUUUGGAACAACGGGAUCAUUAUGACGCAAUGGUGGGAGAGAAACUCUUUAAAACAAGGAUCUCUGCUGGAUGCAGACCACCCGGCCACAUUCCAGGAUAAAAGCCAGGUCACUUGAUUGUCAUGCAGUUGCAUUGUGGGUAAUUUUUGCAGGAGCAAGAGCUUCGCAUUGGUUUGAGAUGGUUGUAACUGCGUCUCCUUCUGUGAUGAGGGAGAAGGUGCUGUACCAUCAUGUUCCUGCUCCUCUGUUCUAGCGAGGAGACUGGGAGAAUCAGUGCAGUGUGGUCAGCAAAAUGUGAAUUCCAGGCAAGCAGGGCUGUCAUCUCUUCAGCAGGGGAGACUUCCUUUCACUUGUCCGAGGAGAGGAGAGGGGAACUGUUUCUCCUGUGAAUCCGGUUCCCUCAGGGCCAGGUGGGACUUCAGAGAUGGGGAAGCACAUGGGGCUCUAUUUCCAGGUUGGGCUUCUUCAAGUGCUUGUCAGAGGUUUCUUUUGCUUGCAGGGCAGAUUCUUUGGGGAAUCGGCUACUUGGGGUUGUAAAGAUUCCUUGUAUACUACUGG